GACGAACGCUGGCGGCGUGCCUAAUACAUGCAAGUAGAACGCUGAAGGAGGAGCUUGCUUCUCUGGAUGAGUUGCGAACGGGUGAGUAACGCGUAGGUAACCUGCCUGGUAGCGAGGGAUAACUAUUGGAAACGAUAGCUAAUACCGCAUAAGAGUAGAUGUUGCAUGACAUUUGCUUAAAAGGUGCAAUUGCAUCACUACCAGAUGGACCUGCGUUGUAUUAGCUAGUUGGUGGGGUAACGGCUCACCAAGGCGACGAUACAUAGCCGACCUGAGAGGGGGAUCGGCCACACUGGGACUGAGACACGGCCCAGACUCCUACGGGAGGCAGCAGUAGGGAAUCUUCGGCAAUGGACGGAAGUCUGACCGAGCAACGCCGCGUGAGUGAAGAAGGUUUUCGGAUCGUAAAGCUCUGUUGUAAGAGAAGAACGAGUGUGAGAGUGGAAAGUUCACACUGUGACGGUAUCUUACCAGAAAGGGACGGCUAACUACGUG
rnacentral:rRNA from 1 species